rnacentral:sRNA from 1 species
GGUGGUGCACACCUGUAGUCCCAGCUACUCAAGAGGCUGAGGUGGGAGGAUCACUUGAGCCCAGGAGGACAGUGCUACAGUGAGCUAUGACUGCGCCACUGCACUCCAGCCUGGGUGACACAGUGAGACCCGGUCUCUAUAGAUAAAUGAAUGGAUGAAUGAGGGGGUCAAGGAUCCUCACCAGGCUUCCAUUUGGAGGGAGGAGUUUGGUUGAGUUCUUGCAAGGUUGGUACCUAGGAAAUGCUUGCCAGUUCUGGAGCCCAGACACUGUCCCUGGACAUGAGACCAGGUCCUCUGCCCUAGGUUAUCAUUGGGAGCAUCUUCGAGGUUAUCUGGGCUGUCAUAAAACCUGGCACAUCCUUUGGAAUCAGCGUGUUACGAGCCCUCAGGUUAUUGCGUAUUUUCAAAGUCACAAAGUACUGGGCAUCUCUCAGAAACCUGGUCGUCUCUCUCCUCAACUCCAUGAAGUCCAUCAUCAGCCUGUUGUUUCUCCUUUUCCUGUUCAUUGUUGUCUUCGCCCUUCUGGGAAUGCAACUCUUCGGCGGCCAGUUUAAUUUCGAUGAAGGGACUCCUCCCACCAACUUCGAUACUUUUCCAGCAGCAAUAAUGACGGUGUUUCAGGUACGGCCUCCACCUGGCCCCACAGGCCAACACCUCUCAGUGUCACAGAUGAAAGUGCCUGCUCCACAUCCAAGGGGCUUCCCUUAACUCCUCCUUCUCUACCUGGCCUUUUCAUACCACUUUAAAAUACAGAUUUUACGGUUAUCAUUAUUCAAAUAUGGUGAGGCCAACAGAUCAGGAGAUAAAUGUCAUUGGAAAGAUAGUUUGUGGCUGGGCAUGGUGGCUCACACCUAUAAUCCCAGCACUUUGGCCAGGUGCGGUGGCUCACACCUGUAAUCCCAACACUUUGGGAAGCCCAGGUGGGCGGAUCACUUGAGAUCAGGAAUUCGAGACCAGCCUGGCCCACAUGGUGAAACCCCAUCUCUACUAAAAAUACAAAAAUUAGCCGGGCGUGGUGGCACAUGCCUGUAAUCCCAGCUACUCGGGAGAUGAGGCACAAGAAUUGCUUGAACCUGGGAGGCAGAGGUUGCAGUGAGCCAAGAUCACACCACUGCACUCCAGCC